rnacentral:tRNA from 1 species
GCGGGUAUAGCACAAUGGUAGUGCAGCAGCCUUCCAAGCUGAGGAUGUC